rnacentral:lncRNA from 1 species
AACAGAACUCAGUUUCUAGAUACUCUGAUGAAGCCAAUGGGUCCAGUGGCUACAAAUUGCAAAGAGUUUUGCUCCUUUACAUGUCAUAAUUGAAAUGGUUCUAUUUCAUUGCUUUAUGUUUCUAGUGUUCUGGCACUCUUGAUUGCUGGUAACUAAUCAGUGGUGAUUGUGUGCUACAAUUUGCUUAAAAGAUCCAGGGUGAAUAUCAUAGCAUACGAAAUAGAUGAAGUUUUCUCUCUUAGGAUCAUGCUACAGGCUUCAAUCUUAUCAAACACUCCUUAUCAGAUUAAAAA